GGGCCCCCAUGUGCUCUGGGCCCCGUACCGCCUCUGUCCAUGACCCCGCAGGGGUCUGUGUCUCUCAGGGUUACUGACUCAUUUCUCCUGACUCUUUCCUCCUCCUCCUCCUCCUCCUUCUCCUGUUUUUCUCAUUUUGAGUUAGGUAUCUCUAGACCCCACUUAGUCUCUAGCAACAUUCAAGUUGUAAGUUUGGAGUUCUGAGCCACAUGGUUAAAUGUGAGCUCAGGCCUUACCCUCGAACCAGCAGGAAGCUGCAAACAGGCAGGGAUGGGCAGGUUUGCACAAGAAGAACUCCAGUCUGGGCUCAUCAGAUGGGAAGUAUUUCUGAACAGCUCCCCUGUAGCAGGCAGAGUCCCCAGUAGCUUCAGCAGUUUAGCUCAUCCGUAUAAAUGACAUUUAUGAAAAUAAUUUGGGGCUGUUUCGCGGCACCAAGACCUCCACAAGGUGUGACCACUUCUCUUCCAUUGCGUGUCCCCACCCUGCUAAGUUUUCCUCCACAGCCCAGCAGGCCUCCCCGGCAGCAAGUCCAUUAUUUCCCCAGCUCUCAGGAGGAGCCCGCGUGGUCCGUGGCUGCAUUUACACCCCAGGCAAAUUUGGCGCGCCACAGACAUCACCGAGCUGUAACAGGAUUAAUCUUUGGCUGUUGCUCCGGGUCACUAACUGGUAGUCAUGUUUUCACUUUGAGAAUUUCUCUGCAUGUACCUUGUUUGUUGUUGUUGUUGUUUGGUUGUUUUAGGACCAUACCUGCAGCAUAUGGAAGUUCCCAGUCUAAGGGUUAAAUCGUAGCUACAGCUGUCAGCCUACACCACAGCCACAGCAAUGUGGGAUCUGAGCCAUGUCUUCGACCUACACCACAGCUCAUGGCAAUACCGGAUCCUGAACCCACUGAGUGAGGCCAGGGAUCGAACCCACAUCCUCACGGAUGCGAGUCAGAUUCGUUUCCACUGCACCACAACAGGAACUCCCUAGAACAUUAUUCUUUCAAGAUUUAACCAAAAUGUCACAUUUUUUUAAAUAGAGUUAAACGUGAGUUUCUCUCUGGUCAUUCUUGACACUCGCCAGGUUGCCAGCCCCCAACCUGCACCACAUGGAGAGCAGCCCAGCCCCGGAGGGUCCAGAGAAGACAACCCUUAAAGUUCUCCAGCCUCCAACCGCAGCCUUCAUUCAAAAGCACAAGUAUUGCCUGUUACAGUCUUGAAAUGCUACUACAUCAGUGAUAUGAAUUGUUGAAAAAUGUUUAAAACACGUUUAAGGUGUUUACACAUGUAACACGUUUAAAAAUAAUCUUGGUACACCCAUGUUCACAGAAGCAUAAUUCACAUUAGCCGAAAGGCAGGAGCAACCCAGUGGCCACUGAUGGAUGAAUAGUCAAACAAAAUGGGAUAUGUGCAAACAAUGGAAUAUUAUUCAGCCUUAAAAAGGAAAGAAAUUUUGACAGAUGCUGCAACAUGGAUGAAUCUUGAGGACAUUACGCUAAGUGUCAUCAGCCAGUCACAGAGGGACGAAUAUUUAUGAUUCCUCUUAUCUGAGCUACUUAGAGUAGUCACAUUUAUAGAGACAGAAGGAAUGGUGGUUUCCAGGGACAGGAAAGAGAGGAUGUUAUUAUUUCAUGGGUACAGAGUUUCAGUUUUGCAAGAUGAAAAGAAUUCUGUAAAUGGAUGGUGUUGGGGAUGGCACAGUGUGACUGUACUUACUGUCACUGUACAGUAAAAAAAAAUACAUAUAUAGAUGUUUGUGUGUGUGUACAUACAUACAUAGCCCUCCUCAAAUUCAGAGCCUAGUAAAUAUUUCACAACCAUUCUCGAAAGCAUCUGCAGCCUUCAGAGUCACAAGAGGGAAAAAAAAAUCUGUGUGUCUUUGUAAUAAAUAGAUAAUGGAUCUAUCAGGAUAGGAUUGUAAAAGAUAUUGUACCUUCUGUCUUGAUGUGUCCAUCUGUCUGUUUGUGUCUGUUUAUCUCUGUCUUUCUUUCUUGGGUCUCUUGCUCUGGCUGCCGUGUUGUGAGCAGCUCAGUGGAGGUCCACGUGGAAAGAAACCGAGGCCUCCAGCCAAACAGCCAGAGAGCAAGUGAGACUGCCUGCCGGUGGCCAUGUAGGCGAGCUGAAAAGCAGAACGUCCUUUUGUUUUGUUUUGUUUUGGUUUUUUUAGGACCGCACCUGCGGCAUAUGAAAGUUCCAGGCUAGGGGUCAAAUCAGAGCUGCAGCUGCCGGCGUACACCACAGCCACAGCACCACCAGAUCUGAGCCGUGUUUGCAACCCACACCACAGCCACAGCAGCGCCAGAUCCGAGCCGCAUCCAUGACCUAUGCCACAGCUUGCAGCAAUGCCAAGUCCUUAACCUUCGGAGUGAGGCCAGGGAUCGAACCCACAUCCUCAUGGCUGCUAGUCAGGUUCUUAACCCACUAAGUCACAAUAGGAACUCCAGAAGUAGAUCAUCCUAAUUGCAGCCUCAUGAGAGAGCCUGAACCAGAGCACAUAGCUGAACCGCUACUCAGCUGUGAGAUGAGUGUCAUUUCAAGCCACUGAGUUUUGCGGUGAUUUGUCCUCUGCAGCGGAUAGCUGGUGCAUCUUACAGUAUUUUUAUGUGUGUGGCACCCAUGUGUGUACAGAACAUGGGCGCUCGAUGUGGUCGUCGUCCAAACUCUUGCGUUUGAAGCCAGGCCCCCCGGGGAAUGCUUAAUAUCCCACACACCCAGAGGUGCUCUUCAUUCAUUAGCGAGCGACGGGAUGAUGGGUUCACGGUGAACCUGCCUCAUCCCUGCGGAGGGAGGCGCGUUCUCCCUCUCCCACCAGACUGCCUGUCGGCUGCAGUGAUGCUCCCGGAGGACUGGGCCUCUCCUCGCCACCCAUUCCCCCUCUGGGGCCUCUGCUGUCCCGCAGAUACAGACAAGGCACAGGCGCCAGGGGCGAGGAGGGUUUUCAGAAAGCACUCAGCUCAGAGUGGAGCGCCGGGCUGCCGGUUGGGUGACUCCUGGCGGCCGUGGUCUGGCCCACUUCUGCCGCCUCCGCCAAAAGGAGGAGGCCCGUAGGCUCUUGGUGCAGCGCUUGGGGAGGCUCGCUCUUGACCCUGAUCCUGAGAUGUACCACUGGGUACAUCGGCCUCAGAGUAGCCGGGCACAGAGCGCUUGGUGUGUGCGAGCCAGGCGCCGCUUACAGGGGAGCACAGAGGGGCAGCGCCUCGUUUCUGCUCUCGAGGACUGGUCGUUCCUGUGGGGGUCAAGGUCAUGCAUUACUGCCCUGCCCACCAGAAGGACCCAGAGGAGGGUGGGUGCUGAGGGGGAGCUGCCCAUUGGAGGUGGCAGCCCAGCUGGGCCCUUCAGGAUGGAGGAUCACCACCUCCCUCCUGGGGGCGCAUAUGGACUCCUUCGUUCUGACCCGUCACUGCACAUACGUGCUUACAGAUCUGGCUGCUGCUACUCAGUGUGAGUGUUUGGCGGAAACUCAUCUAGAGAUGGGCAUUAUUCCGUGUCUUUAGUGCCCUGCACAGUGCUUGACUCACUGUAGGCCUCGGGAUGCUUUAUGAAUGAGUGACUCGGUCAAUCAAGCCGUGAAUGAGCGAGCCAAGGUACAUGGCGAGACUGGAGAGGUAACUUGGACUGAGCUUUAAGGGCCAGGGAUGCCAUGAACAUUGAGCUAAUAAUUAGCAGUAAGGGGUGUUUUCUUUCUAGGGUGGAAGCAGUGCCUGAAUCAGCACCAAGGAAAGGUGGAAGCGGGGGCAGUGGCCACAUCGGUGUGUUAGCCUGAGCCCCAGCCUCACCCAGGGUCUGUACCAAAAGUGGCCCCAGCCGUGUGCCAGGAGCAGAGGUGGCAAAUUAAGGCAAGGCGCAGACCUGAAGGAUGCUGUUGUGAUUCCCGGGCUAGAAAGAGCAGAGCCCACUCAGGCCAAACCAGUGUGGUCUGGGGCAGCUCCCAGGCCAGGGAGAGGCUGUUUUCAGGUGAGGCUUCGGGUCACCCGACAAAGAAAUUCAGGGACAUUCUGACUUGGAGAACUUGAGGCCGCCGGCUCUCAGGAGCAGCAGGUGCUGCAGAGAAGUCUACCUGGCCAGUGGGGAGUUCAGGCUGCAUUCUGAGGCUUUCCUUAAGAGAACCAGGACUUGUCAUGUGCUUCCUGGUGGUGGUUGCAGCACCCUAAUUUUCAUGAAGAGCAAACGGAGCUUAAUUUGGAGUCACAGAAAAUGUGUCUUUUUUCUUACGCGGCAUUUAGCAGCUAUGGGAGUAAUUUUUCGUGGUCACCUCCUGAUUGUCCACGCUGAUGGGAGGGUGGGCGGAGCUUCGGGGCUAACGUGUAAAACAGCAGGUGAUCCACCGGUGGCCCUGGGAGUGGAUUUGUGCUUCUGUUUAUAGAAGUGCCUAUUCUGAAAAUUCACCACAGAAUUUUGAAAUCAACUUUUAAUGAGGACAACUCAGAAGGGCCUGAAAAGCAGGGUCUCUUCCCCUCCUUGUCCUCCCCCUCCACCCCCAUCCUGUCCCGAGUCCUCCUGUGGGGUGACAGCCUCAUCCAUUACAGAGCAAGCCAAGGAGGAGACGGAUUAAAAGCCAAAGGCAGAGAAAACUUCAGAAGUUCAUUUUUCUAGUUGGUGGAUGUGAUGCAGCAGUGAAGACACUGACCCGAUUAAAAGUUCAGAGGGCUGCAUAUAAUGGCCUCUCCUGUACGUUUAUAUUAGGAAAAGUGUGUUACCAGCUCCCCCAAAGUGCAGAGUCUCCCCGAAGUAGAGGUCGAAGAGUGGUUUUUUCAGAUCAUGAGUCAACAUCAGCCAAGAGGGAUGAAUCACGAUCUUCUUGGGAGAUUCGCAGGCAGGCACACUGGGCUGGGGGAUGCUGCGCACUGCAGUGGCCCUGGGUCCUUGUGACAGACGGGAGACACAGCCUCAGAAGGACAGGCAGAGCCACCAUCAAGCUGUCCUCCGAGCUUUAUCUCGGGCUGUGUUCUGAAAGGGGGCAGGGGGCGGCGGGGCGUUGCUCUCCUGUGCUGGUGAGGAAGUUCAGAAAGUGUGUUUGAACAUACACAUGCCCAGGCAGGAGAAAGAUUCUGUCUUCCCAAUGCUCUUGUCCCAUCUGAAUGUGAAAUUAAAAGUGAUUGGCUGCAGGAGUUCCCAUCCUGGCUCAGCAGUAAUGAACCCCACUAGGAUCCAUGAGGACUUGGGUUCCAUCCUCAGGCUCGCUCAGUGGGUUAAGGAUCCGACAUUGCCAUGAGCUGUGGUAUAGAUCACAGGUGCGGCUUGGAUCCAGUGUUGCUGUGGCUGUGGUAUAGGCUGGCAGCUGCAGCUUUAAUUCAACCCCUAGCCUGGGAACUUCCCUGUGCCCUGGAUGUGGCCCNAAAAA
rnacentral:lncRNA from 1 species